AGGAGAGGUGGCAGAGUGGCUUUGCGGCUGGCUUGAAAUCAGCAUAUGGGGGUUCGAUUCCUUCCUUUCUCG
rnacentral:tRNA from 1 species